rnacentral:rRNA from 1 species
AUUGAACGCUGGCGGCAGGCCUAACACAUGCAAGUCGAGCGAGCGGCGCAAGGGUGAUUAACACGUAUCCAACCUGCCCUUUACUCGGGGAUAGCCUUUCGAAAGACAGAUUAAUACCCGAUAUAAAGGAUGGGGAUGCGUUCCAUUAGGUUGUUGGUGAGGUAACGGUUACAGAAGCCUUCGAUGGAUAGGGGUUCUGAGAGGAAGGUCCCCCACAUUGGAACUGGGACACAGUCCAAACUCCUAGGGGAGGCAGCAGUGAGGAAUAUUGGUCAAUGUGCGCUAGCCUGAACCAGCCAAGUAGCGUGAAGGAUGAAGGCUUAUGAGUCGUAAACUUCUUUUAUAUAAGAAUAUGUAUUAUAUGAAUAAGGAUCGGCUAACUCCGUGCCAGCAGCCGCGGUAAUAC